rnacentral:rRNA from 1 species
UACGUAGGGUGCGAGCGUUGUCCGGAAUUAUUGGGCGUAAAGGGCUCGUAGGCGGUUUGUCACGUCGGGAGUGAAACUCGGGGCUCAACCCCGAGCCUGCUUCCGAUACGGGCAGACUAGAGGUAUGCAGGGGAGAAUGGAAUUCCUGGUGUAGCGGUGAAAUGCGUAGAUAUCUGGAGGAACACCGGUGGCGAAGGCGGCAUCCGUGGACCGAUACUGACGCUGAGGAGCGAAAGCCAGGGGAGCAAACGGG